rnacentral:lncRNA from 1 species
ACGACCAACACCACCACUAUCUUCACCUCCUCCUCCUCCUCCUCCUCCGUCUUCGCCUCCUCCGCCGCCUCCGCCAGAGCCAGCGUCGCCGCUGUCCCUUCCCCGGCAAGAUUUCUGUCUCGUCACGAGUGUCUGGAAAUGUGGAGUUAAGGUAGAUCGUUUUUUCCUCGCGGCCAAGGUCGACUUAUCUCUCACAGAUGAGUAGCGGCCGCCUCCAGCCCUCCCAUGGCCUCCAUAUAUCCUGCAGCGUUCACUUGUCUCUCUGUUGACACCCGCAGUGACCUUCCACACGCACGUUGACGAUCCAUUUUGAAAAGGAAGCAAGACGGUGAGGCACUCUGCCAGCUGCGUAUUGCUUAGGGAUGCAUCUGCGAUUUGGGGGAUGAUUUCAAACCGAUUUAGCUGUCCAGCAGGGUUGCCAUAGCUCCUUUCCGCUUCCCACAGUAUCCAGUCGCCUGAGAAGGAAAGAAGGAGAGCAGUAGAAGCCUGUGAGACGCAGCGUCGCCCAGAAUGUAGUGGUCAGCGACGUGUGUCAUGUGAUCGCGGAACAAGACCAGGAAUGAAAAUUGUCUCGUCCAAUAGUUAUGGCGGAGGUCAUAUAUUAUUUCAGUUCCGUGUGGCUCCUUCCCAUUUCUUUACACUCGCCUGGCGUGCCACUCCCGCUUCGACCCCGCGCCGUCAGGUGUGUCGCACGUCUGGGUGCUGGCGGUUAGAAUGGUCGCUAGUCAAGGGUCCGUCAACCGCAGAGCCUCCGGGCGGCGGCGUGAUGCAGGAAAGGGCGCCAUCACGUCGUCACCACCACCUUAAAAUCCAGCGGCCGAACUAAACAUUUCUAAAACGUCGGUGGCCGCUCCGCCUAAUACCGUCCAAUCGGCGGGCCCAAAUUACUGUGGAAAUUAUGAUUAUUUGAGUAAUUUGUGCCGGUGAUGAUGCUCAGGGAGUCUGGGAGGCUGCAUCUCAGUCAUGUGUGUGCAGCUCCGACACCGAGAAGGCUCUCCCGCCCUCUCUGCCUCCUGUACCAGCUGGCACUCACUCCAGGCACUCACACAGGCACUCGGCCAAGCCACAGCUAUUCUGCAUAUUUACGAGUAAUGAGUCACUCGUCACCAGCCAUCCGGAUGAAUGAGCACCGCCACUUCCCCUGCUGACGGCGGGGCGACGAGACCGGACCGCCGCACCAGCCUGGAGUAUAUUGACAGCUGGCGGAUCACGGAAAAGAAUGUUAAGAUUCCCAUUUUCCAAGCAAUAAUGAAGAGUUCCAUUUCCUACGCGAGAGGUGAUCGUGAGGAAGCAGAGGCUGCUGUGACACUACAAGAAGCACCUGAGCUGCAGCAAAAAUCAUCAUUGUGAAGGACUAGAGAACACAAAGCAACACUAUCGACACUUUCCUCGGUGACUGCGGCACCCACAGCGGUGGUGCUCGCUCUCCGAAAUACUAUGAGCCGUGGUGAGCCGUCCUGUUUAAAUAGCUGAAGUGGCGGAGUGUGAGACAGUGAAACAACAAACAUUUAAGACUGUAUCUAAGCCUGCUGGUGUAAGAAGCGAUGACAUAAGAUUCGGUAAACAUUGGGAGAGACAAAGUAACUUCAUGUUGCAAGAAAUUAGAAAAAAGAAAUUGGUAAAAA